AACAGGAUUCCCCUAGUAACUGCGAGUGAAGCGGGAAAAGCUCAAAUUUAAAAUCUGGCGGUCCUUGGCCGUCCGAGUUGUAAUCUAGAGAAGUGUUACCCGCGCUGGACCGUGUACAAGUCUCCUGGAAUGGAGCGUCAUAGAGGGUGAGAAUCCCGUCUCUGACACGGACUACCAGGGCUUUGUGGUAUGCUCUCAAAGAGUCGAGUUGUUUGGGAAUGCAGCUCAAAAUGGGUGGUAAAUUCCAUCUAAAGCUAAAUAUUGGCGAGAGACCGAUAGCGAACAAGUACCGUGAGGGAAAGAUGAAAAGAACUUUGGAAAGAGAGUUAAACAGUACGUGAAAUUGCUGAAAGGGAAACGCUUGAAGUCAGUCACGUUGGCUGGGGAUCAGCCUUGCUUUUGCAUGGUGUACUUUCUGGUUGACGGGUCAGCAUCAAUUUUGACCGCUGGAAAAAGGCUUGGGGAAUGUGGCAGCUCCGGCUGUGUUAUAGCCCCUUGUCAUAUACAGCGGUUGGGAUUGAGGAACUCAGCACGCCGCAAGGCCGGGGUCAAACCACGUUCGUGCUUAGGAUGCUGGCAUAAUGGCUUUAAGCGACCCGUCUUGAAACACGGACCAAGGAGUCUAACAUGCCUGCGAGUGUUUGGGUGGAAAACCCGAGCGCGUAAUGAAAGUGAAAGUUGAGAUCCCUGUCGUGGGGAGCAUCGACGCCCGGACCAGAACUUUUGGGACGGAUCCGCGGUAGAGCAUGUAUGUUGGGACCCGAAAGAUGGUGAACUAUGCCUGAAUAGGGUGAAGCCAGAGGAAACUCUGGUGGAGGCUCGUAGCGAUUCUGACGUGCAAAUCGAUCGUCAAAUUUGGGUAUAGGGGCGAAAGACUAAUCGAACC
rnacentral:rRNA from 1 species